rnacentral:rRNA from 1 species
AACGUGAAACCGGUGUAAUGGAAGCAUAUGGAGUUGACGUAUCUGGUGCGUAUUCAGUUGUUCGCGCGUUGUGCGGGUCGCGUUGUUUCCAUUCCGCAAGGUUGGCGACGCGGCGGCGCAGCGUGCGGCGAUGCAUUUACGUACGGAGUGCGCCGAGUCGCGUGGUGGCGUCGGUCGAAGCCGUUUAAGAGGACGCAGCCUUCGCGGGCGGUGAAACCUUGCGCGGUGUAGGUCGAUUGUCGGCUGCGUGAUUUCGUGGAUUGUGCGGGCGUUCAGCGCGCGCGGCGUCGCGUUGUUGCGGUUGGUUUACGUUUGCACGCGUGCGUGCGGCGUUCGUCGGCCGUAAAAGCGUGGUGUCGUGCACCGCACACUUCUCGGUGUAUAGUCAAUGACCCAUUUGACCCGUCUUGAAACACGGACCAAGGAGUUUAUGGUAUACGCGAGUCAUUGGGCUUACGAAACCCAAAGGCGCAAUGAAAGUGAGACCGUUCAGCGGUUUUAAUGUGAUCGAGGGUUUUGUUUCGACGGCCCUUGAGCAACAUUGCCCCGUUUCGAGGACUUGUCCUGUUGCGGAGGUUGAGCGUAUGCUAUGAGACCCGAAAGAUGGUGAACUAUGCCUGAACAGGAUGAAGCCAGAGGAAACUCUGGUGGAAGUCCGAAGCGGUUCUGACGUGCAAAUCGAUCGUCUGAUUUGGUAUAC